GGCUCUCGUUCCACCUCUCAUCCAUAAAGAGACCAACCUCCCAUUACCCCAAAACCUUAAUCAUUUCUCACCCUACCCUGCCACCCUCAUUUUCUUUUUCUCUCUAUUUUCUCUCAUCCUUUCAAACCCAUCAGUCAUGGAAACCUUGCACGAACCAGUGCAAGGUCACAAGACCUUCCCCAAAUCGUCCUUCCCUGUUUCUCCAUCAUCAAAUCCCGUUGAUUUUCCACUUUUUCCUCUUCAAAUAUGAGGGAUUAGACAUGGCCAAUAAAGUUGAAACACUAUUUCUUUUCGUUCUUUCAGAUAAAACUUACAGAAUUGCCUCAUUUGUUCCUAGGAGAUUAAAUCGGUGAUUUUAGUUUUCAUUUUCGUUGAUUAAAUUCAAAACCCCCAAUUUGAAACCUUAUACCUAAAUGAUAAUACUUCGUUCUAAUGAUGGUUAUUCUAGACCAGAGGUCAAAUUCAAUGACCUCUCAACCUCUGACCUUUACCCGAUGGUUUUCAUGACUUCUAAUUUCUGUCGUACACUCAAGUAAAAGCUUCACUCAUUUUUGCUUUGUCUCUUAGAUUUUCUCUUGAUUUUUCCAUCAUCAUCAAUCUUUCGUCACUUUCCACUCACAAUUUGAAUACGGUUAAAAUCCUAGAGCCUUAAUGGCACUAUAAAAAGGGUCUUUAAUGUUCUCAUCUAGCACCACCUAACACUGAGAAAACAACAUCUACCAUUAUCUACUACAACAUAGAAUCACCAACUAAAACAAUUGUCUAAGAGCAAUUCUAACAUUAAAUAACCUAGGGUUUCUGACUCUUUUACUUUUCUUUUGUUUUUAACGCUUUCGCUGCUUCAAGCUUGAAAUCUUGGGCCAUAAAAAAUUAAGAAGGAUUCUAGUUUGGUCUGCUUCCCUCAAGAAGAUCAGUACAUUCCUAACUUUUCUCUUUAAUCAUCUUAUAUAAACAUUUUGAACAUGCUAGUUCUUUUCUAUGAAUUGUAGUUGUUUAUGAUGUUUAUAACUAGUGUGGAGAUGUUUUUUUUAAGAUAAUAUGUUUUAUGCUUAUGAUCACUUGUCCUACCUCUUGAGUCUUGAAUUAAUGUUUGAUCUAUUUAUUUGGUGACUCCUCAUGACUUCCUUUUCUAAGUUCAAAUAGUCAACACGUUUAAGUUGUAACGUGUUUUGAAUAACUGCUCUUACUUGCCUAAACUUUAUAGUCAUUCAUUGAUGAUCCUGUUGUGAUAUUUACCUUUACAUAUUAUUUCUCAGUAUUCUGUUUGUCUUGUGGUCUAGUUUAUCAUUCGAUAAUACUAAUUAGGAUGAACCUGAAAGUUCAUAAGGACAUAUCAUUUAACUAAGGCAUGAAAAUCUAAGUGUUUAUAAACUUUCCUUCUCUACAUCUAUAUCUUCUAACUCUGAGGGAAACUUCUGGACUAUUACUAUGACAUUCUCAUGUUCAUAUCUAGUUGUAAAUUGUAUCUAUAUAAGAUAAUAUUGUUAAGUUGAACUUUCAUGGAUGCCAAUAGAUGUACUAUACACGUAUUUUGUUAAGAUUAAGUUGUCAUCUUUUUAUGCAGCGAAAUUAGAUGACUUGAUUUCUCACUGUCAAGUCACUUCGAUAGAACGCCACGAGCCCCCGAGGACGAGAACCCAUGACCGAGUUCCCGAACUUGGGGCUCGUCAAGGCCCAACUCAUUGAAGAUGGAGAUCAAAGCCAGGACAGAGAAGUAAGCUCCCAAGGCACACGGCUAAGUCUGAUUGGGUUGACAUAUCCAGAUCCUAUGCUGAGGCGUCACGUCAAGCCGUCCCAUCUCAAUGCUUUAUUAUUAAUGCUCAUGUACUAGUAGACGAAUUCCCCUCAUAUAUAAAAAGAUCUCGCACUACCUUGUAGAGGAAUUACGUUUCUCCAUUUCUUCACAAGUGCAAUAAUAUCUAUCUCUCUCUCUCUUAUUUCUAAACUCUCUCGUCCUCACUGGCCGGAGGCCACUUCAAUAUUUAUAGCUUUCUUACUCGUUCUUCAUUAUAUUUCUCGGUAUCGGCCAUAAAGAUCCUUGUUUAAUCAUAUCCUUAGUUGUUAUCCCAUCCCCGACUAUCCCCGAUAGCUUGAGCUCGGUCAUGACAUCAACCCCAGGGUCCCCCAUCGACCAGUCCUACAUACGGGCAACAUGUUUCUCAGUUUGAC
rnacentral:lncRNA from 1 species